CUUUACUGCAACUUGAUGUUGGAAUUUGGUUGUAUUUGUGUAGGAUAGGUGGGAGACUUUGAAGCAGGGUUGUUAGGUUUUGCGGAGUCGUCGUUGAAAUACCACCCUGGUGCUGACGAGUUUCUAACCGUGUCCGUAAGCCGGACAUGAGACAGCGUCUGGUGGGCAGUUUGACUGGGGCGGUCGCCUCCUAAAAGGUAACGGAGGCAUUCAAAGGUCCCCUCAGCGUGGUCGGUAAUCACGCGCAGAGUGCAAACGCAUAAGGGGGCUUAACUGCGAGACCGACAGGUCGAGCAGGUACGAAAGUAGGAGUUAGUGAUCCCGCGGUUUAGCGUGGAAUUGCCGUUGCUCAAUGGAUAAAAGGUA
rnacentral:rRNA from 1 species